ACAGAACUCUAUUUAUCUGUUGGUGAGAAAAGCCUGGUUUUGGAGACCGACCAGGGAGGCUUUAUGAAGACAAGUUCUGAGUUGAAGGGCAGGGUCCUGCCAAAGACUACGUGGUUACUCCCAACAGCUGGUGCUCCCAGUUCUAAUAAUCACAAGCAACAUCUCAACACCCCAGACGUGUAAAUGGGAGAUGGUAAGAAAGCUGAGGGGCCAGGAGCCGUGCUCUCAGUGGACUGCUACUGGAGCAACUUCAGAGAGGAAUUGCUCCAGAAACCACCUGGACAGAAGGGAGACUGUGUUGGUACGGCGCGCCAGGACCACUGGAUCCCCUGGAUGGGACCCAGGAUCUUAAAGCAGGGCUGGAUGAGCUUCUUUCAGUCCUGUUCUAGAAUCCUCAGCUGUACGUGCUGAACCGGUGAUGUAUUGUAUUGCUGUCAGGAACACCAAAGGGUGAUGCUGCAGUGGCAGAUGUGGAAGAAAGAGAGCCUGGGAAAGAUACUACAGGAUUUUAGGAGUGCGGAAACCAAACUCUGGAUGUAUUAUUCUGUUACAUAGUGGUAUGUUGUGGCCAGUGCAACAAAUAUGAUCCGUCUUCACCACCACGCUCUGUAACCUUGCUCCCUUACAUGAACUGUUUGCCCUUGUCUGUUAUUCCCAUAUGCAGAGGCUGAGUAGACAAUCUUGUCACUCUUAUUUUGUUAGCUGCUUUAAAGAUCAAAGGCUUGAUUUCCCCACCCCCUCCAGCUGUUCAUGCAAGUUGCAUCAAGGAGAAGAUUGCUGUGCCCAAAGGAAGAUUCUUCACUG